GCAAACUGGGAAAACUUUCAAAACCCACUGGUGUGCUCUAUUCAGGAGACCCAUCUCACGUGCACAGACACACACAGGCUCAAAAUAAAGGAACAGAGGAAGAUUUACCAAGCAAAUGGAAA